GGGGGUACAGCUCAGUGGUAGAGCACCUGUUUAGCAUGCUUAAGGCCCUGGAUUCAAUCCCCAGUACCUCCA
rnacentral:tRNA from 1 species